rnacentral:rRNA from 1 species
UACAGAGACUGCAAGCGUUAUUCGGAUUCACUGGGCGUAAAGGGUGCGCAGGUGGCCAAGUGUGUGAGGCGUGAAAGCCCGGGGCUUAACCCCGGAAUUGCACCUCAAACUACUUGGCUAGAGCAUUGGAGAGGGGAGCAGAAUUCAUGGUGUAGCAGUGAAAUGCGUAGAUAUCAUGAGGAAUACCAGAGGCGAAGGCGGCUCCCUGGACAAUUGCUGACACUCAGGCACGAAAGCGUGGGGAGCAAAAGGG